rnacentral:sRNA from 1 species
GAUUGAGCCACAAGUAUACUGAAGGAAGGGCUCCCUCGAGUUGUGGUGUGAAGAGAUAAAUCACCAGUCACAGACUAUGCACCCGACUGCUGCUGUUCAGUCCAGGGAAAAUGAAAGUUGGAGUGCUGUGGCUCAUUUCUUUCUUCACCUUCACUGAUGGCCACGGUGGCUUCCUGGGGGCCCCGUCGAAGAAUAUCAGCUGCUGCUUCAGGUGACCUAUAGAGAUUCCAAGGAGAAAAGAGAUUUGAGAAAUUUUCUGAAGCUCUUGAAGCCUCCAUUAUUAUGGUCACACGGGCUAAUUAGAAUUAUCAGAGCAAAGGCUACCACAUACUGCAACAGCCUGAAUGGAGUCCUGCAGUGUACCUGUGAAGACAGCUACACCUGGUUUCCUCCCUCAUGCCUUGAUCCCCAGAACUGCUACCUUCACACGGCUGGAGCACUCCCAAGCUGUGAAUGUCAUCUCAACAACCUCAGCCAGAGUGUCAAUUUCUGUGAGAGAACAAAGAUUUGGGGCACUUUCAAAAUUAAUGAAAGGUUUACAAAUGACCUUUUGAAUUCAUCUUCUGCUAUAUACUCCAAAUAUGCAAAUGGAAUUGAAAUUCAACUCAAAAAAGCAUAUGAAAGAAUUCAAGGUUUUGAGUCGGUUCAGGUCACCCAAUUUCGAAUGUCACUCUUGUUGCCCAAGUUGGAGUGCAAUGGCACAAUCUAGGCUCACUGCAACCCUGCAACCUCUGCCUACCGGGUUCAAGAGAUUCUCCUGCCUCAGCCUCCCAAGUAGCUGGAAUUACAGGCACCUGCCACCACAUCCAGCUAACUUUUUUUGUAUUUUUAGUAGAGACAGGGUUUCACCAUGUUGGCCACACUGGUCUCGAACUCCUGACCUCAGGUGAUCCGCCUGCCUCGGCCCCCAAAGUGCUGGGAUUACAGGCAUGAGCCACCACAUCUGGCCUAGGACCUUAAAUAUUGGAAAGCAUUCUCAAAACUGUGGGUCAGUGAGUAGAACUACAAAACAACAGCAGUAGGGCAGAAACUUGAAAGAAGGCAGGAGAUCAUGGUGACAGUGCAUGGGAAAAAGUGAGGGUUGGGGAUAAGGGUUGCGGGUUGUCGAAGGGUGGAUUUUCUCCUUCAGCAACCACAGGAGAUAUGAUGCCUUAUAAUUCGGAGCCAGAAGUGGGGCUUUGGGUGAGAUAUCUUCGCUCAGAUAUCAUGUAUACAUCAUAGUUCAAAACCCAGUAGUCAUUGUUUACAGCAAAUAAAGAAAUAUUUAGUAAAUUAUCCUUCUGUUUAUGCCUUAAUUCCAGAAGUUGUUUAGUUAGCCAUGUUUACAUUAAUUACCAACUAUUAAUAAUCUGUCUGCUUGUUAGAGAAAGUGGCUUAGAGGUCAGAGAACUUGACUUGUGAUAUUUUUUUCACAGUUAACUUAAAAACACCCAUAGGACAUUUUCUCUUUUCUUUUAUUUUAUUUUCUUUUUUUUUUUUUUGAGAUGGAGUCUCGCUCUGUCACCUAGGCUGGAGUGCAGUGGCACGAUCUCGGCUCACUGCAACCUCCACCUCCUUGGUUCACGCCAUCCUCCUUCCUCAGCCUCCCGAGUAGCUGGGACUACAGGCGUGUGCCACCACGCCUGGCUAAUUUUUUUGUAUUUUUCGUAGAGAUGGGGUUUCACCGUGUUAGCCAGGAUGGUCUCGAUAUCCUGACCUCGUGAUCCACCUGCCUCGGCUUCCCAAAGUGCUGGGAUUACAGGUGUGAGCCUCUGCAUCUGGCCAACCCAUAGGAAAUUUUCAACAGCAUUUGCUAUAAACAUGUUGUCCUGGGCAUUAUCCUUUAAGUCAUACAUGAAUAGUUUUCUUUAAAAUUCAAUACCAGCAAAAGCACUGCUUUUUUUUUAUAUUGAAGUUUAUACAGUUGAUCAUACUUUCACUAUUCAUAUUUUUCUUUUCUGUGAUCCUUGUUUUCUAUUUAUACUUCUAAUUUAUAUUCUAUCAUGUAUAUCUUAUAAUCUGUCUCCAAUAAUCUGCAGACCAAAUCACAGUAAAAGUACGCACAAGUCUAUAAACUACAACUUUUUACUUUUGUUCUGUUUCAUUUUGUUUCAAUAUGGGGUCUCACUCUGUUGCCCGUGCUGGAGUGGAGUGGUGCAAUCUCAGUUCACUGCAGCCUUGACCCCUGGGUUCAAGCAAUCCCACCUAUGCCUCCCUGGUAGCUAGGAUCACAGGCACUUGCCAUCAUGCUUGGCUAAUUAGUUGAGGUCUUGCUAUGUUGCUCAGGCUGGUCUUAAACUCCUGGGCUCUAGCGAUCUUCCUACCUUGGCCUCCCAUAAUGCUGGCAUUACAGGCAUGAGACACGAAGCCCAGCCUAAAGUUUUAUUUUUUGCAUAUAUGAUUUAAAAUAAAUCUCUUUUUAAAAAAUUAUUUUAAAAAAUAAAGAAGGGUUUCACCAUGUUGACCAGUCUGGUCUCGAACUCCUGGCCUCAAGUGACCCACACACCUUGGCCUCCCAAAGUGCUGGGAUUACAGGCAUGAGUCACCAUGCCCAGAUUAAAAUAAAUCUUAAUCUCUCGCUCUAUUUACUUAUCUGUCAAACAGGACAGUUAUACACCUGUGGAACCUGGUUUAACUUCACUAAAUCAAAUCUAUAACAAGCAGGAAAAUACUCUGUAAUCAAUAGAAGGGACAUAUCAAUGCAAAGGUAUUGUGACCAUCAUUACGCAAAAGGGUGUCUGCACUUAUUUAUACAUUGUGAGUAGAAGUUCAAUGUAGUAAGAAUUUGAGCUGCGGAACUUCCAAUCAAUUAGUAAUUAAUAAUUUUUUCACCCAACUUCUCACUGGGCCUCAGUUCUCAUACCUAUAAAAUGGGAAUGAUACACUGCUUAUCUCAUGAGUUAUUGCAGGAUUGACUUAAUGUAUUGAUCUCAUGUGCUUUCAUGUCUUCAAACACAUCUGUAUGCUGAUGGAUUCUAAAUUUAUUACUUGAGCUCGGGCACUCCCCUGAACUCCAGACUCAAGUAACCAACUGCCUACUUGACAGUCUCCACUUGGUUUUCCAGCUGGGAUGUCAAAUGUCAUGUGUCCAAACUGGGAAUCCUCUGACUCUCCCCUUCCUAACCUAUAACUUAUUUUUCCCACUGUCUUCCCUAUUUCCAUUACAGCAAUGCUGUCCUUCCACUUGCAGAGACCCAAUCUUGGAGCCAUCCUGUGCUAUAAUUUCUUUUAUUGAGGUAUAACUUGCACACAGUUAUGUGCUCAAACUUUGUGUAUGACUCUAUCAGCUUUGAAAAACGCUUGUGCAAGUCCCUUCCUGUCAAGAUGGAACAUUCCCAUAACCCCAAAAGUUCUCUUGUGUUGUUUUCCAGCCUCUUUCCAUGCCAUCCCCUCAUACCAGAAGCAACCACUUGUAUGAUUUCUAUCAUCACAGGUUAGUUUAGUCUAUUCCAGAACUUCACAUAAAUAGAAUAAUCCAGUUUUUUUUUUUUUUGCAUGUUCGACGUCUUUCACUCAGCAUAAUGUCGUUGAGAUUCAUCCUCAUUUUUCUAUCAGUGGUUCCUUCCUUUUUGUAGUCCAGUAGUACUCCAUGGUAAGAAUAUACAAAAACUUGCUUUUCCAUUCCUUGGAGUUAUUAUUGACUGAUUUCUUUCUUUCACAUCCCAAAUCUUCUCCAUUAGUAAGUUCUAUGGCUCUGGCUCCAAAUAAAACCUGAAUUUGACCACAUGCAUAGCUACCCAGCUAGUUCAAGCCACCACCAGCUCUUUCCUAACUGGGUUCCCUGUACCUUGCUUGCUUCCCUUCCAUCUGUUUUCUACACAGCAGCCUUUACGGUCUUAAAAAGAUAAAUCUUAUGAUGCCACUACCUUUUAAUAAAGAAGAAAACUUUUUAAUAAAGAAUGAAAUCGCAACUCUAAUGUCCUAUGAGAUCUGACUCCUGGUACCACUCCAAUAUCAUCUCCUGCUAUUGCUCCCUUGCUGCUGAAUUUCAAUCAUCCUAGUAUUUAAGCUUGUCAAACUCACAGGCAUUUUCCCGCCUUAGGACCUUUACUUGUGCUGACAUUCCACACCAGUGUUCUUUGCAUAGCUGGCCUUUUCUUCUUUGCAUAGCUGGCCUCAGGCCUCAGCUUCAAAGACCCACAGCACAAAAAAGCCUUCCAUAACCAGCUUUAUUUAAUGUGGGGCCCCAUAAUUAUAUCUGUAUAUAUACAGAUGUAUUUAUACAUAUAUAUAUCAUAUAUAUAUGUAUUUUUGGUGGAUACUUGUUUUUUUAUUUGCCUUGCCUUAUCCACUAGAAUGUAAGCUCUCUUUACUUUAUUCCUAUGGACCCCAUGCCAUGUACACACAGCAUAGGCCCGGAGUGAAUGAAUAAAUAAGUAGUGAAUCUCAUUUCUCUUUCCCCAUAAUCACUGCAGAAAUGGAAGCAUCGUUGCUGGGUAUGAAGUUGUUGGUUCCAGCAGUGCAUCUGAACUGCUGUCAGCCAUUGAACAGGUUGCCGAGAAGGCUAAGACAGCCCUUCACAAGCUGUUUCCAUUAGAAGACGGCUCUUUCAGAGUGUUCGGAAAAGCCCAGUGUAAUGACAUUGUCUUUGGAUUUGGGUCUAAGGAUGAUGAAUAUACCCUGCCCUGCAGCAGUGGCUACAGGGGAAACAUCACAGCCAAGUGUGAGUCCUCUGGGUGGCAGGUCAUCAGGGAGACUUGUGUGCUCUCUCUGCUUGAAGAACUGAAGAAGGUGAGGCAUUUUCACUUUGUAGACUUGCCCUGGUCUUGAGUUUCAGAGUGGCAAUAUCCCAGUGAGCAUGGCUAGGUGGAGGGUAAGUAUACCUACGUGCAUCAUUGGCCAGUAUGCAAAGAGCAAGGAUGACAUCAGACCCUGGUGAACCCGUGGAGUCGUGCAUGAGUGGUAGCGUCUGGGCAGCAGAGUCUAGGUUGCAGCUCAAAAGACAGAGUUGAUAGUUUUGUCAGGCAGAGGUGUUGUGGAGGAGUGUAUCAUUGCUGAGGAGGUCUAUGAUGGAUGGUAGAGCAGCAACUAAGCUGGCCUCAGAAGUCCAGAAGACCUAGGAAUUAAAGAGAAGAGUGAAGGUGUGAGUCAUAAGCCAGCAGGCUUAGUACAAGUAAGGAUAUAUCUAUACCAGAAAUUAGGGCAAGGAGUGGGUCAGACAAAGGUGAACCAUAUAAAAUGACUGAACUGCAAUGGAUCUUAAGGGGCAUCUGGUUUACCAACCUCAUUUUACAGAUCAGAAAACAAAAGACCAAGGGGCCAAUAGUUCCUCUGGUAGCAAUAGUUUUGAAUUAGAAGCAUGGUCACUUGAUUCCUAGUCCAGUGCUGUAUUAGUCUGCUCUCACAUUGUUAUAAAGAACUAUCUGAGACUGGGUAGUUUAUAAAGAAAAGAGGUUUGACUCACAGUUAUGCAGGAUGUACAAAAGGCAUAUCUGGGGAGGCCUCAGGAAACUUACAAUCAUGGCGGGAGGUGAAAAGGAAGUAAGCACAUCCUUAUAUGGUGACAGGAGAGAGAGAGAGAGAGAGAGAGAGAGAACGAGGGAGAUGCUACACACUUUUAAACAACCAGAUCUUGUGAGAACUGUAUCAUGAGACAGCACUUGGGGGAUGGUGCUAAACCAUUAGAAACCACCUCCAUGAUCCAAUCAUCUCCCACCAAGCCCCGCCUCCAACAUUGGGAAUUAUAACUUGACAUAAGAUUUGGGUGGGGAUGCAGAGCCAAACGAUAUCAGGUGCUAUGCCCUCCACAUGAUUCUCUCUUAGGAAGGUUCAAGUAUUAAGACAAGUAAGAUAGAAAGAAGGAAAUAAAUAUCUAGGAAUCAGAAGAACUCAAGUCACAGAAAAGAAGGACCCCAAGACCAGUUCACAGAUACUGUUCAGCAAGUAGAUUUCCAUAUUGAGCAGAACUUCUAUUCCAGCCAGAGACCUUGCUUCUGCUGCUGCAGUAGAAAACCCCAGAAUAGUAUUCAUCGGAGGACUGUGGAAUGUUUACUUCUCCCUUUUGGAUCUCAGUUUCCUCAUCUGUAAACUGGGGAAGGGGAUUAGAUUAGCUGGAUUCUGGGGUUUCUUCUUGCUCUUGCCUUCGUUGCCUCAAUUCCGGACAUGAGCAAUAGUUGAGACUAGUUCGCUCCAGGCAGAUCCCAGGUGGCUUGAACAGAAAACAGCAUUGUCAGUUGAGAAGAACAAGAAGGAAAAUGGCUGGCACUUGGGCGCCUGAGUGGACUUAAUGUUGAGUGGAAGGGGACUGCCCUCCUUUGCUGCUUUCCAAGUUAGCCUGGUGUAGUAAAAGUAGAUGGGAGCCUCAAGAAAGAAGUAAAAUUCCAAAUCUAGGGCCGGGUGCAGUGGCUCAUGCCUGUAAUCCUAGCACUUUGGGAGGCCAAGCCAGGCAGAUCAUGAGGUCAAGAGUUCAAGACCAGCCUGGCCAACAUGGUGAAACCCCGUUUCUACUAAGAAUACAAAAACAGCUGGGCGUGGUGGUGCAUGCCUGUAAUCCCAGCUACUUGGGAGGCUGAGGCAGGAGAAUCUCUUGAACCUGGGAGGCAGAGGUUGCAGUGAGCUGAGAUCAUGCCACCGCACUCCAGCCUGGCUGACAGAGCAAGACUCCAUCUCGAAAAAAAUAAAAAAAACAAAUCUUGUGACAAAACGGGGGCGGGCACAAGCCCAGUAGUCAAAUCUCCAUGUAUGUUUCUCUCUCUUCCCAUCUUACAACGCAUUCUCAGUGUAGCGUGGUGAACAUAACAGGAUUACUACCAGUAGACCUACCCUAACAUUUUCAGCUGAGUGCUCUUUGGAAGGUCAUUAAAUCUCAUUGAACAUGAUUUUCUGCAUAAUUAAGAUAAUAAUUUAUAUGAAAAUGAUUUUUAGUUUAGUAGAAACUAAAACUUUGCAAGUUUCAGUUUCCUUAGCUAUAAAAUGAAAAUAAUAAUGGCACCUCCCUCAAAGGAUAUUGAAAGAAUUCAAAGAAUGAAAAUAAUAAUGGUACCUCCCUCAAAGGAUGUUGAAAGAAUUCAAUGAAUCCCUGGUAAAGCAUCUAGUGCAAUGUCUAAAAUAUAGAAAUCACUGAAUAACAGCCUUUGUUACUAUCGUUAUGUAAUUAUCCUACAUUAGAACACACCAUACAAAUGUUAGUUCUAUAUAGCCAAGACAUCUGAUUUAAAUUUGAUGAAACACAGCAUAUCAUUGUUUUCUAGAACUUAACCAUUUUUGCUUCUAGAAUUUCAGUAUGAUUGUAGGCAAUGCCACUGAGGCAGCUGUGUCAUCCUUCGUGCAAAAUCUUUCCGUCAUCAUUCGGCAAAACCCAUCAACCACAGUGGGGAAUCUGGCUUCGGUGGUGUCGAUUCUGAGCAAUAUUUCAUCUCUGUCACUGGCCAGCCAUUUCAGGGUGUCCAAUUCAACAAUGGAGGAUGUCAUCAGUAUAGCUGACAAUAUCCUUAAUUCGGCCUCAGUAACCAACUGGACAGUCUUACUGCGGGAAGAAAAGUAUGCCAGCUCACGGUUACUAGAGACAUUAGAAAACAUCAGCACUCUGGUGCCUCCGACGGCUCUUCCUCUGAAUUUUUCUCGGAAAUUCAUUGACUGGAAAGGGAUUCCAGUGAACAAAAGCCAACUCAAAAGGGGUUACAGCUAUCAGAUUAAAAUGUGUCCCCAAAAUACAUCUAUUCCCAUCAGAGGCCGUGUGUUAAUUGGGUCAGACCAAUUCCAGAGAUCCCUUCCAGAAACUAUUAUCAGCAUGGCCUCGUUGACUCUGGGGAACAUUCUACCCAUUUCCAAAAAUGGAAAUGCUCAGGUCAAUGGACCUGUGAUAUCCACGGUUAUUCAAAACUAUUCCGUAAAUGAAGUUUUCCUAUUUUUUUCCAAGAUAGAGUCAAACCUGAGCCAGCCUCAUUGUGUGUUUUGGGAUUUCAGUCAUUUGCAGUGGAACGAUGCAGGCUGCCACCUAGUGAAUGAAACUCAAGACAUCGUGACGUGCCGAUGUACUCACUUGACCUCCUUCUCCAUGUUGAUGUCACCUUUUGUCCCCUCUACGAUCUUCCCCGUUGUAAAAUGGAUCACCUAUGUGGGACUGGGUAUCUCCAUUGGAAGUCUCAUUUUAUGCCUGAUCAUCGAGGCUUUGUUUUGGAAGCAGAUUAAAAAAAGCCAAACCUCUCACACACGUCGUAUUUGCAUGGUGAACAUAGCCCUGUCCCUCUUGAUUGCUGAUGUCUGGUUUAUUGUUGGUGCCACAGUGGACACCACGGUGAACCCUUCUGGAGUCUGCACAGCUGCUGUGUUCUUUACACACUUCUUCUACCUCUCUUUGUUCUUCUGGAUGCUCAUGCUUGGCAUCCUGCUGGCUUACCGGAUCAUCCUCGUGUUCCAUCACAUGGCCCAGCAUUUGAUGAUGGCUGUUGGAUUUUGCCUGGGUUAUGGGUGCCCUCUCAUUAUAUCUGUCAUAACCAUUGCUGUCACGCAACCUAGCAAUACCUACAAAAGGAAAGAUGUGUGUUGGCUUAACUGGUCCAAUGGAAGCAAACCACUCCUGGCUUUUGUUGUCCCUGCACUGGCUAUUGUGGCUGUGAACUUCGUUGUGGUGCUGCUAGUUCUCACAAAGCUCUGGAGGCCGACUGUUGGGGAAAGACUGAGUCGGGAUGACAAGGCCACCAUCGUCCGCGUGGGGAAGAGCCUCCUCAUUCUGACCCCUCUGCUAGGGCUCACCUGGGGCUUUGGAAUAGGAACAAUAGUGGACAGCCAGAAUCCGGCUUGGCAUGUUAUUUUUGCUUUACUCAAUGCAUUCCAGGGAUUUUUUAUCUUAUGCUUUGGAAUACUCUUGGACAGUAAGCUGCGACAACUUCUGUUCAACAAGUUGUCUGCCUUAAGUUCUUGGAAGCAAACAGAAAAGCAAAACUCAUCAGAUUCAUCUGCCAAACCCAAAUUCUCAAAGCCUUUCAACCCACUGCAAAACAAAGGCCAUUAUGCAUUUUCUCAUACUGGAGAUUCCUCCGACAACAUCAUGCUAACUCAGUUUGUCUCAAAUGAAUAAGGCAAGGAAUCAUAAAAUCAAGAAAAAAUUUCCAGAACAACUUGACAUUUAGAGACAAAUGUCAAUGAAGAAAUUAUGCUCAGUAUUCGAUCGGGUUUUCUGAUUUAGGGGUCUGGGAAUAAAACAAGAAU